CCCCCUGAAUGUUAUAGCCCCAAGCCAGCAGCACAUGCCAAAUCUCAGGAGAGGGAGCCCAGGCGCUGCCCAUUGGGGGCCCAAGUCUUUCUAAUCGAGGCCCAGCCUGUGGACCGUGUGAAGCAGUUAGCACCCACAGCGCGCCAGCCCAGAGCUUUCAGAGAUCGGAUUGCUUGUGAUUGCAGCCCAAAUCUGGUGGUAAACUCCACGAAAGGCUAAAUACCAGCACGAGACCGACAGUCAACAAGUAUGGUAAGGGAAAGUUAAAAAGAAGUUGAGAGAGAGAGAGGGAAGUUAAAAAAAGAAAUCCUAGAGGAGAGACAGAGACUAACAGAGGGAACAGAGGAAGUCAGAGAGAGAAAGAAAGAGAUAGUAGUAAAGAGAAAGCAAUGUGUCCUAUUCUUUUAAAAGCCAGGGUAAAUUAAAAACCUACAAUUGAAGGUCUUCUCCAUGAUGGGAUUCUUAAAUCCUGUUGUUUUCAAACCUUAUAUUAUUACAAUCACCAGUAGUUUACAGUAAUAGGUUUAAAAGAUGCCUUCUGGGCUUGUCCA
rnacentral:ncRNA from 1 species